AUUGAACGCUGGCGGCAGGCCUAACACAUGCAAGUCGAGCGGAGAUUCUGAAGGCACUUGUGCCUGAGGGAUCUUAGCGGCGGACGGGUGAGUAACACGUGAGCAAUCUGCCUUCAGCUGGGGAAUAACACUGGGAAACCAGUGCUAAUACCGCAUGAUGUCCCGAACCGGCAUCGGUUUGGGACCAAAGGAGCAAUCCGGCAGAAGAUGAGCUCGCGUCCCAUUAGCUAGUUGGUAAGGUAACGGCUUACCAAGGCAACGAUGGGUAGGGGUCCUGAGAGGGAGAUCCCCCACACUGGUACUGAGACACGGACCAGACUCCUACGGGAGGCAGCAGUGAGGAAUAUUGGUCAAUGGGCGCAAGCCUGAACCAGCCAUGCCGCGUGCAGGAUGACGGUCCUAUGGAUUGUAAACUGCUUUUGUACGAGAAGAAACAACAUUACGUGUAAUGUCUUGACGGUAUCGUAAGAAUAAGGAUCGGCUAACUCCGUGCCAGCCGCCGCCGUAAAAC
rnacentral:rRNA from 1 species